rnacentral:tRNA from 1 species
GCCCCGGUCGUCUAGCCAGGUCAGGAUGCCACCCUUUCAAGGUGGAGAUCAGGGGAUCGAAGCCCCUCCGGGGUACCA